UACGUAGGUGGCAAGCGUUGUCCGGAUUUAUUGGGUUUAAAGGGUGCGUAGGCGGCCCUGUAAGUCAGUGCUGAAAUAUCCCAGCUUAACUGGGAGGGUGGCAUUGAUACUGCGGGGCUAGAGUACAGAUGAGGUAGGCGGAAUUGACGGUGUAGCGGUGAAAUGCUUAGAUAUCGUCAAGAACACCUAUAGCGAAGGCAGCUUACUAGGCUGUAAACUGACGCUGAGGCACGAAAGUGUGGGGAUCAAACAGG
rnacentral:rRNA from 1 species